UACGAGGGGGGCAAGCGUUGUUCGGAAUUAUUGGGCGUAAAGGGUGCGUAGGCGGUCGGGUAAGUCUGAUGUGAAAUCUCACAGCUUAACUGUGAAACUGCAUUGGAUACUAUCCGGCUAGAGGAAUGGAGGGGAGACUGGAAUACUUGGUGUAGCAGUGAAAUGCGUAGAUAUCAAGUGGAACACCAGUGGCGAAGGCGAGUCUCUGGACAUUUCCUGACGCUGAGGCACGAAAGCCAGGGGAGCAAACGGG
rnacentral:rRNA from 1 species